UACGGGGGGGAGCAAGCGUUGUUCGGAUUUACUGGGCGUAAAGGGCGCGUAGGCGGUCAGCACAAGUCAGUUGUGAAAUCUCCGGGCUUAACUCGGAAAGGUCAACUGAUACUGUGCGACUAGAGUGCGGAAGGGGCAACUGGAAUUCUCGGUGUAGCGGUGAAAAUGCGUAGAUAUCGAGAGGAACACCUGCGGCGAAGGCGGGUUGCUGGGCCGACACUGACGCUGAUGCGCGAAAGCGUGGGGAGCAAACAGG
rnacentral:rRNA from 1 species